AGCGAACGCUGGCGGCAGGCUUAACACAUGCGAGUCGAGCGGGCACUUCGGUGUCAGCGGCAGACGGGUGAGUAACACGUGGGAACGUACCCUUCAGUUCGGAAUAACGCUGGGAAACUAGCGCUAAUACCGGAUACGCCCUAAUGGGGAAAGGUUUACUGCCGAAGGAUCGGCCCGCGUCAGAUUAGCUAGUUGGUUGGGUAAUGGCCUACCAAGGCGACGAUCAGUAGCUGGUCUGAGAGGAUGAUCAGCCACACUGGGACUGGGACACGGCCCAGACUCUUACGGGAGGCAGCAGUGGGGAAUAUUGGACGAUGGGCGCAAGCCUGAGCCAGCCAGGCCGCGUGAGUGAGGAAGGCCUUAGGAUUGUAAAGCUCUGUUGUCCGGGACGAUAAUGACGGUACCGGAAGAAUAAGCCACGGCUAACUUCGUG
rnacentral:rRNA from 1 species